rnacentral:rRNA from 1 species
UACGUAGGGGGCAAGCGUUGUCCGGAUUUACUGGGCGUAAAGAGCGUGUAGGCUGCCAAGCAGGUCCGUUGUGAAAACUGGAGGCUUAACCUCCAGACGUCGACGGAAACCGCGUGGCUAGAGUCCGGAAGAGGAGAGUGGAAUUCCUGGUGUAGCGGUGAAAUGCGCAGAUAUCAGGAAGAACACCAAUGGCGAAGGCAGCUCUCUGGGACGGUACUGACGCUGAGACGCGAAAGCGUGGGGAGCGAACAGG